UUAAAUAACGCAGAUGUAUUUAAAAAACAACUUUUUUUUCUUUUUUGAUAAUUUACAGUAAGGGUUUGAACAACUACUAGAGGUAUUAGAACCAUACAGAUAAACACAAAGAAGGAAGUUGGUUGGAAAGAAAGUGUUUUGUCAAUGUUGUAGAUUAAAGGCACAAAACUUUCAGAGGACAACUAAUAGAAUAAAGAGGAGCGAAAUAUGGCGGAACCGGAAGAUGACAAUAAUUAUAGCUGGUGUCACAGCAGUGUUUGUCCUUUUCAUAGUUCUAGUUGCCCUAGGAG